AAAGGUCUCUCUCUCUCUGUACCAAUCACAUUCAUGCUCACAGGUGAGUUAAUUCAGACUGCUUAUACAUUAUUAAUAAUAAUAUAUUGGAUUCAUAUAGCUCAAGUUGUACUUAAAACAGGAAGGAGUAUGUCAGAACAUCUUGGGAGUGUGAGAACCGAGCUGUACACUCUUACUUUCACUUCUGUUCUGAUGUAAUGCACUGUCACUCACUCACUCACUCACUCACUCACUCACUCACUCACUCACUCACUCACUCACUCACUCACUCACUCACUCACUCACUCACUCACUCACUCACUCACUCACUCACUCACUCACUCACUCACUCACUCACUCACGCUCCCUCUGUGUUGUUCAGGCCCUGUUAAAGCCAAUCGACAGUCACCUGAAAACAACGUAAAUUCAUCAUCUGUAGCUUUGUCUCACACGUCUCACAAAUACCCUCACACAUGAUGUCCUUUGUUUAACCAUAACAUCACCGGGGGCAAACUACCAGCCCUCCAGGACACCUACAGCACCCAAUGUCACAGGAAGACCAAAUAUCAUCAAGGACAUCAACCACACGAGCUAAGGCCUAUACACCCCGCUACCAUCCAGAAGGCGAGAUCAUGAACAUUUCCGGAUAACGAGAUACAUUGACACCAAUUACUGUGGAACAUGAACCAAUUGGACUACAUUAUCUAUGGAUAGGGUGAUGGAGCUGGAUGCUGAUGAAAACCUUCACAAAUUCCUCUUUUUGGAUGAAGCAGGCUUCAACCUGGCCAAGACAAGGAGGAGAGGUUGGAAUCUCAUUGGCCAGCGGGCAACCAACCAAGUACCUGGACAACAUGGGGCCAACAUCACCAUGUGUGCGGCUAUAUCAGAAGACGGUGUGGUGGGACGCAGACCUCGUAUUGGAUCAUAUAAAGCAGCUCUCCUUGUGUAACCUUCUUGAUGAGAUAAAUCGGGUCUGUAGAGCUGAUGUCGUGACCUAUGUCAUUGCGUGGGUUAAUGUCAGGUUCUACCAUGCUCAAAUGGUGCAAGCACGGUUUCAGGCCCAUCCACAAUUUAUCACCCUGUACUUACCCCUAUACUCUCCUUUCCUUAACCCGAUUGAGACAUUUUUCUCCAAGUGGAGGUGAAAGGUAUAUGAUAGGCGCCCUCAGGAACAAGCCACCCUUCUCCAGGCCAUGGAUGAUGUAUGCAAUGACAUCACGGCAGACCAGUGUCAGGCCUGGAUUCACCCUGCCCGAAGAUUCUUCCCAAGAUGUUUGGCCAAUGAAAACAUCCAUUGAUGAGAACCUUUGGCCAAAUCCACAAGACAGGUUUGAUGGAAAUAUAGAAGUACAGUAAUCAAUCCUUUGUUUUGCUUUUUACAGUAAGCCAGGUGAGGAACACUGCAGUUGACAUUUUACUGUAGUGUUUUUCUUUUUUGAAGCUAAUAAUUUUUGCUUUGAUUCAAGGAGACCUGACCUAUGUUGUGAUUUUAUUGUAUUUCAUCAAUACCUUUCAGAUUUUGUUCAAUGAUUCCAAUGUGUCUGUAGUAUUCUCUUUGCUAGUCAUUUUACAGUGAUGUAUUACGUGUAGUACCAUAAUGAAACACGUAUCACAUAUUUUGUACUACAAUAUUUAAUGAUUGUAUGAACAACUACACAGUGAAACUAUUGGUAUAUUGUGUGUGGGUGAUCUAAAUUAAUGUUCCUAUGGUAUUUCAUGAUGAAAGAGUUAUUUGAACCAGUGCAAGGUUUCUUUAAAGAUAUGAAUGCACAAUACAUUGUUUUGAACAUUGGACAGCCUGUGUAACAAGUGAUGACCGUUUUGAGUUUUGUGUCUAGAGUUUUGAAAAAUGACCACAAGAUUCUGAAAUUAGUGCCAAAGGGAUUGUAAAAAACUGUAAAUAGCCAUCACUAAUUGGCUUCCACCCGGUUACGCAACCCUGCACCUUAGAGGCUGCUGCCCUAUAUACAUAUACUUGGAGUGACUGGCCACUUUAAUAAUGGAACACUAGUCACUUUAAUAAUGUUUACAUACUGCUU
ensembl:lncRNA